UGUCGUCUACAAGAUUGCAAUAUCUUAUAUCAAAUACAGUAUAUGACAAAAAAAUUAAAAACUAUAUAUUAAAUGUCGGUUAUUGCAGGUCUAUUUUACAAUUCUUAUGGCUUCCGUGCGGUAUAUGUGUAUAUAUAUAUAUAUAUAUAUAUAUAUAUAUAUAUAUAUGUUGAAAAGUUUUACAGUUCAUUUGUUGAAAAAAAAAAAAAGUGGAGAUGUAUACGUUAUCGUUUUCACUAUAAAAAGAAUGAAAACCCAAUCUUACGUACGUAUAUCUCUGGUAACUGCGCCAAAC
rnacentral:lncRNA from 1 species